GAUGAACGCUAGCGGCAGGCCUAAUACAUGCAAGUCGAACGGGAUCCAGAUCAAAGCUUGCUUUGGUCUGGUGAGAGUGGCGCACGGGUGCGUAACGCGUGAGCAACCUACCCUUGUCAGGGGGAUAGCCCGGCGAAAGUCGGAUUAAUACCGCAUGACAUCAUUGAGAGGCAUCUUUCGAUGAUCAAAGAUUUAUCGGACAAGGAUGGGCUCGCGUGACAUUAGCUAGUUGGUAAGGUAACGGCUUACCAAGGCUGCGAUGUCUAGGGGCUCUGAGAGGAGAAUCCCCCACACUGGUACUGAGACACGGACCAGACUCCUACGGGAGGCAGCAGUAAGGAAUAUUGGUCAAUGGACGGAAGUCUGAACCAGCCAUGCCGCGUGCAGGAAGACGGCCCUAUGGGUUGUAAACUGCUUUUAUACGGGAACAAACGUCGGUACGUGUACCGGUCUGAGUGUACCGUAAGAAUAAGGAUCGGCUAACUCCGUG
rnacentral:rRNA from 1 species